rnacentral:rRNA from 1 species
GACGAACGCUGGCGGCGUGCUUAACACAUGCAAGUCGAACGGAAAGGCCCUGCUUUUGUGGGGUGCUCGAGUGCCGAACGGGUGAGUAACACGUGAGUAACCUGCCCUUGACUUUGGGAUAACUUCAGGAAACUGGGGCUAAUACCGUAUAGGAGCUCCUGCUGCAUGGUGGGGGUUGGAAAGUUUCGGCGGUUGGGGAUGGACUCGCGGCUUAUCAGCUUGUUGGUGGGGUAGUGGCUUACCAAGGCUUUGACGGGUAGCCGGCCUGAGAGGGUGACCGGCCACAAUGGGACUGAGAGACGGACCAGACGCCUACGGGAGGCAGCAGUGGGAAAUAUUGCACAAUGGGCGGAAGCCUGAUGCAGCAACGCCGCGUGCGGGAUGACGGCCUUCGGGGUGUAAACCGCUUUCGCCUGUGACGAAGCGUGAGUGACGGUAAUGGGUAAAGAAGCACCGGCUAACUACGUG